rnacentral:rRNA from 1 species
CGAAGUAGCAAUACUUAGUGGCAGACGGGUGAGUAACAUGUAGGUAUCUGCCCUUUGGCCUGGAAUAACACGAGGAAACCUGUGCUAAUACCGGAUAAGUCUUUACGGAGAAAGCUUUAUGCACCAUUGGAUGAGCCUGCACUUGAUUAGUUUGUUGGUGGGGUAAUGGCCUACCAAGACUGUGAUCAAUAGCUGAUUUGAGAGGAUGAUCAGCCACAUUGGGACUGAGACAUGGCCCAAACUC